AUGACGAACACAAAGGAAAAGAGGACGAGGCAUCUGAUGUAUGUUCUCCUGGCCUUAUAGAAAACAUGGAGUUCGAGUUUCUCUGGCCACAGACACCAGAAUCUACAAUGAAGGUGAUAUUGAGGACUUCGUGAGAAUGCAUACUGUUCAAAAGGGAAUGACCCACAAAUGUUACAUGGCAGAACUGGAAAAGUCUAUGUUACCCAGCAUGCUGUUGGCACUGCUGCGAACAAGGGCUAGAUUCUUGCCCAAAGAAUUAAUGUUUCUAUUGAGCAUAUUAAGCACUCUAAGAACCAAGAUCUUUCCUGAAAUGUGUGAAGGAAAAUGAUCAAAAAAGAAGCAAGUCAAAGAGAAAGGGUUCACCUGAAGUGCCAGCCUGUUCCAUUGAGGGAAGUACACUUUGUGAGAACCAAUGGAAAAGAGCCUGAGCCGCUGGAACCUAUUCCCUAUGGAUUCAUGGUAUGA
rnacentral:lncRNA from 1 species